rfam:Populus trichocarpa scaffold_19_contig_275, whole genome shotgun sequence.
UCUAGAACUCGAGAUAUGGGCUGAACACUGAACAAUGUCUGGGUUGCAGGACAGAUUCUGACUUCUCCGUUGUUGCUAAGAUUUAGACUUCCAAAUAGUAGAAUUGAGUCUUUCACUCCUCAUGAAUGUUUUAGACCUAUAUCUUAGCUUUCUAGU